rnacentral:rRNA from 1 species
ACGGAAGGCAGCAGUGGGGAAUAUUGGGCAAUGGGCGAAAGCCUGACCCAGCAACGCCGCGUGAAGGAAGAAGGUCUUCGGAUUGUAAACUUCUUUUAUGAGGGACGAAGGACGUGACGGUACCUCAUGAAUAAGCCACGGCUAACUACGUGCCAGCAGCCGCGGUAAUACGUAGGUGGCAAGCGUUAUCCGGAUUUAUUGGGUGUAAAGGGUGUGUAGGCGGGACUGCAAGUCAGAAGUGAAAAUCAUGGGCUCAACCCAUGACCUGCUUUUGAAACUGUGGUUCUUGAGAGUGGGAGAGGUAAACGGAAUUCCUGGUGUAGCGGUGAAAUGCGUAGAUAUCAGGAGGAACACCGGUGGCGAAGGCGGUUUACUGGACCAUUACUGACGCUGAGACACGAAAGCGUGGGGAGCAAACAGGAUUAGAUACCCUGGUA